GAUGAAGAACGUAGCGAAAUGCGAUACUUGGUGUGAAUUGCAGAAUCCCGUGAACCAUCGAGUCUUUGAACGCAAGUUGCGCCCGAAGCCAUUAGGCCGAGGGCACGCCUGCCUGGGCGUCACACGUCGUUGCCCCCCCAUCUACUCCUUCGGGAUUGCGGGGGGCGGAUGAUGGCCUCCCGUGCGCCUCGCCGCGCGGUUGGCAUAAAUGCCAAGUCCUCGGCGACGCACGCCACGACAAUCGGUGGUUGCGAAACCUCGGUUGCCCGUCGUGUGCGGUCGUCGCGCAUCGAGGGCUCGAAAAAAUUGCCGGGUUCCGGCUCGGGUUUCAACGCGACCCCAGGUCAGGCGGGGUUACCCGCUGAAUUUAAGCAUAUCAAUAAGCGGAGGA
rnacentral:misc_RNA from 1 species